rnacentral:rRNA from 1 species
CGGUAGGCAAAUCCGCCGGGCUUAGAUGAGGGGUGAUAACGAGGCGGCUUGCCGCCGAAGUGAGUGAUACCCUGCUUCCAGGAAAAGCCACUAAGCUUCAGCUACACACGACCGUACCGCAAACCGACACUGGUGCGCGAGAUGAGUAUUCUAAGGCGCUUGAGAGAACUCAGGAGAAGGAACUCGGCAAAUUGACACCGUAACUUCGGAAGAAGGUGUGCCCUAGUAGUGUGAUGAGAACAUCUGAGCACGAAAGGGUUGCAAAAAAUAGGUGGCUGCGACUGUUUAUUAAAAACACAGCACUCUGCAAACACGAAAGUGGACGUAUAGGGUGUGACGCCUGCCCGGUGCUGGAAGAUUAAUUGAUGGGGUGCAAGCUCUUGAUCGAAGUCCCAGUAAACGGCGGCCGUAACAAUAACGGUCCUAAGGUAGCGAAAUUCCUUGUCGGGUAAGUUCCGACCUGCACGAAUGGCGUAACGAUGGCCACACUGUCUCCUCCUGAGACUCAGCGAAGUUGAAAUGUUUGUGAUGAUGCAAUCUCCCCGCGGAAAGACGGAAAGACCCCAUGAACCUUUACUGUAGCUUUGUAUUGAAUUUUGAACAGAUCUGUGUAGGAUAGGUGGGAGGCUUUGAAGCAGGGUCGCUAGAUCUUGUGGAGCCAACGUUGAAAUACCACCCUGGUGUGUUUGAGGUUCUAACCUAGGUCCAUUAUCUGGAUCGGGGACAGUGCAUGGUAGGCAGUUUGACUGGGGCGGUCUCCUCCCAAAGUGUAACGGAGGAGUUCGAAGGUACGCUAGGUACGGUCGGACAUCGUGCUAAUAGUGCAAUGGCAUAAGCGUGCUUAACUGCGAGACUGACAAGUCGAGCAGAUGCGAAAGCAGGACAUAGUGAUCCGGUGGUUCUGUAUGGAAGGGCCAUCGCUCAACGGAUAAAAGGUACUCUGGGGAUAACAGGCUGAUACCGCCCAAGAGUUCAUAUCGACGGCGGUGUUUGGCACCUCGAUGUCGGCUCAUCUCAUCCUGGGGCUGUAGCCGGUCCCAAGGGUAUGGCUGUUCGCCAUUUAAAGAGGUACGUGAGCUGGGUUUAAAACGUCGUGAGACAGUUUGGUCCCUAUCUUCCGUGGGCGCUGCAGAUUUGAGGAAGCCUGCUCCUAGUACGAGAGGACCGGAGUGGACGCACCUCUGGUGUACCGGUUGUCACGCCAGUGGCAUUGCCGGGUAGCUAAGUGCGGAAGAGAUAACCGCUGAAAGCAUCUAAGCGGGAAACUCGUUCCAAGAUGAGAUCUGCCGGGGCCUUGAGCCCCCGUACUCUGCGUUGAU